rnacentral:rRNA from 1 species
ACGCUCGACACCUACGGGGGGCAGCAGUAGGGAACCUUCCACAAUGGACGCAAGUCUGAUGGAGCAACGCCGCGUGAGUGAAGAAGGUCUUCGGAUCGUAAAACUCUGUUGUUAGAGAAGAACACGAGUGAGAGUAACUGUUCAUUCGAUGACGGUAUCUAACCAGCAAGUCACGGCUAACUACGUGCCAGCAGCCGCGGUAAUCUGAGCGGGCUGGCAAGGC